rnacentral:rRNA from 1 species
GACGAACGCUGGCGGCGUGCCUAAUACAUGCAAGUAGAACGCACAGUUUAUACCGUAGCUUGCUACACCAUAAACUGUGAGUUGCGAACGGGUGAGUAACGCGUAGGUAACCUGCCUGGUAGCGGGGGAUAACUAUUGGAAACGAUAGCUAAUACCGCAUAAUAUUGAUUAUUGCAUGAUAAUUGAUUGAAAGAUGCUAUUGCAUCACUACCAGAUGGACCUGCGUUGUAUUAGCUAGUAGGUGAGGUAACGGCUCACCUAGGCGACGAUACAUAGCCGACCUGAGAGGGUGAUCGGCCACACUGGGACUGAGACACGGCCCAGACUCCUACGGGAGGCAGCAGUAGGGAAUCUUCGGCAAUGGACGAAAGUCUGACCGAGCAACGCCGCGUGAGUGAAGAAGGUUUUCGGAUCGUAAAGCUCUGUUGUAAGAGAAGAACGGGUGUGAGAGUGGAAAGUUCACACUGUGACGGUAUCUUACCAUAAAGGGACGGCUAACUACGUG